rnacentral:misc_RNA from 1 species
AAGUCGUAACAAGGUUUCCGUAGGUGAACCUGCGGAAGGAUCAUUAAUGAAUAAAAACCUAAAUACAUGCGGGUUUUUUUUUCCAACUCGUAUCCACCCAAUGUGAACUGUUUUUAUCCCUUUUUGUUUUUCGGCUUUGCUAUUUGUCUGAGGAUGUUUGGGCCUAGAAAUCUAAAAAUUUUUAGGCUUGGAUGGCUCGGAUGAUUAGGCGGCUGAGAACAAGCCUGUUUACAAAAUUUGCUGUCUGAAAACAGAAAAUAUAACAAAAUACAACUUUCAACAACGGAUCUCUUGGCUCCU